AAUGAAUCUAAUAGCACUAGACCCCCUUGGUUUAUUACUCCUGACAGUGUAGUUAUAGAUUACGAAGUUAAAAAAGCAAUACAUGAUUUGGUCCAAGGCCACUA